rnacentral:rRNA from 1 species
UACGUAGGUGGCAAGCGUUGUCCGGAUUUAUUGGGUUUAAAGGGUGCGUAGGCGGCUUUGUAAGUCAGUGGUGAAAUAUGGCAGCUCAACUGUCAGGGUGCCAUUGAUACUGCGGAGCUUGAGUACAGAUGAGGUAGGCGGAAUUGACGGUGUAGCGGUGAAAUGCUUAGAUAUCGUCAAGAACACCGAUAGCGAAGGCAGCUUACUGGGACGUUACUGACGCUGAGACGCGAAAGCGUGGGGAGCAAACAGG